UACGUAGGGUGCAAGCGUUAAUCGGAAUUACUGGGCGUAAAGCGUGCGCAGGCGGUGAUGUAAGACAGUUGUGAAAUCCCCGGGCUCAACCUGGGAACUGCAUCUGUGACUGCAUCGCUGGAGUGCGGCAGAGGGGGAUGGAAUUCCGCGUGUAGCAGUGAAAUGCGUAGAUAUGCGGGGGAACACCGAUGGCGAAGGCAAUCCCCUGGGCCUGCACUGACGCUCAUGCACGAAAGCGUGGGGAGCAAACAGG
rnacentral:rRNA from 1 species